rnacentral:rRNA from 1 species
GACGAACGCUGGCGGCGUGCUUAACACAUGCAAGUCGAACGGAAAGGCCCUGCUUUUGUGGGGUGCUCGAGUGGCGAACGGGUGAGUAACACGUGAGUAACCUGCCCUUGACUUUGGGAUAACUUCAGGAAACUGGGGCUAAUACCGGAUAGGAGCUCCUGCUGCAUGGUGGGGGUUGGAAAGUUUCGGCGGUUGGGGAUGAACUCGCGGCUUAUCAGCUUGUUGGUGGGGUAGUGGCUUACCAAGGCUUUGACGGGUAGCCGGCCUGAGAGGGUGACCGGACACAUUGGGACUGAGAUCAGGCCCAGACUCCUACGGGAGGCAGCAGUGGGGAAUAUUGCACAAUGGGCGGAAGCCUGAUGCAGCAACGCCGCGUGCGGGAUGACGGCCUUCGGGUUGUAAACCGCUUUCGCCUGUGACGAAGCGUGAGUGACGGUAAUGGGUAAAGAAGCACCGGCUAACUACGUG